AUGUUAGUCUUGGAAAUUGAUGAUGAUGAUGAUGAUGAUGAUGAUGAUGAUGAUGAUGAUGAUGAUGAUGAUGAUGAUGAUGAUAAACGGAAUCUAGUAGGAUGAUUAGAAACCCCCUUUUAAAUUAGUACUUAUGUUGUAUUUUGCUUCUUUGAUUAAAUUGUUGUAAUUUGCUUUAAAACUAUGUACUUUUGAAUUUAGCAAUGAAAUGAAAUCAUGAUUAUUAAAUACUUGUCGCAAUUAGUCGUUAUGAAGUCUCUUGCAAUCUCGAUUUCGUCUCACUCCAAUGUUUCCGCCAUCGGUUGGGGUGUGACAUGAUUGUUCAUUUUUUUUAAAUGAGGACUGAAAGUAUGAUUGGGUGUAAACCCUAGGAACUGAAAUUGUACUUUACUCAUGUUUUUAAUAUAUGUGUGUAUACACGUUAAUAAUAAAUAGUUAUGUUAUCAUUUUUUUAUCUUUAUUAUCAAUAAAAAAAUUGAUUCUAGGAAUUAGUAAUAAAUAAUUAAAUACUUAUACGUAGAUUACCAUAAUACCCCUACUGUUAACUAAAUAUUUUGACCGAGUUAGAGUUGGGGAACAAAGUGACAACACAAUCGAACCAUCAGGGAGGAAAAUAACACUUUUUAAACUAUUAAGGUAAAUGCGUUAAAAUGGUCAAAACCGUAGGGAGCAAAAACGAAGGUAACUCAACUUUAAAAUAGUUGUAUAUUUUCCAAAUUGACAAUUAUAAUAUGUUGGUUGUGAUGCUCAUUUAUGAUAUUCCUCAUCGGUUAUAUUUAAUUAUGACAUAAAGCUAAUAACCUUUAAAACAUCAGGCAUGGGUGUAUUAAAUACUGCAAGCAGCAUGUGAAAUAUCAUCUCGUGAAGACAGAAGAGAGUCUAAAGACCAAGACAUCAGUGUUUAUUUUUUAAAAGAGUUUGGUUUUACAUUCUGCAUUACAUGGCCAACUAAAGGGAAUGGAAGAUGCACUCAUGGCUUUAGAGGUAUGUUUUUUGGGCGUCACAACAUAAUUAUGUAGAUCACUUUGCUUCUAUUGUUUGUGUUACAUCUAAAACCUUUACAAUUUAUAAAGAUGUACAUGACAUUAUGAUUAGCAAGAUAUACAAACUGUAAGU
rnacentral:lncRNA from 1 species